GUUGGGAUCCGCUGAGUGAUGGGAGUGUGUGCUCUUUAACUUCGGAGAGAGAUGCGCUCUCGUGUAGCCGUCAGGGCCUGCCAUAAGGUCUGCAGGUGCCUGUUGUCUGGGUUUGGGGAUCGAGUAGAUGCGGGGCAGCCGGAGCUGUUGACGGAAAGGAGUAGCCCCAAAGGAGGGCACGUGAAGUCGCACGCGGAGCUCGAGGGGAACGGCGAGCACCCAGAAGCCCCCGGGUCUGGAGAGGGAAGCGAGGCGCUGUUAGAGAUCUGUCAGAGAAGGCAUUUCCUAAGUGGAAGCAAGCAGCAGCUUAGCCGGGAUUCUCUUCUGAGUGGGUGCCACCCCGGCUUCGGACCCUUGGGCGUAGAGUUGCGGAAGAACCUGGCCGCAGAAUGGUGGACCUCGGUGGUGGUGUUCAGGGAGCAGGUAUUCCCGGUGGACGCCCUCCACCACGAACCAGGCCCUUUGCUACCCGGGGACAGUGCCUUCAGGUUAGUUUCUGCAGAAACUCUACGCGAAAUCUUGCAAGACAAAGAGCUGAGUAAGGAACAGCUAGUAGCAUUUCUUGAGAACGUAUUAAAAACUUCUGGGAAACUACGGGAGAGCCUUCUUCACGGUGCCUUGGAACACUAUGUUAAUUGCCUGGAUCUGGUAAACAAGAGGCUACCUUAUGGCCUUGCUCAGAUUGGAGUGUGUUUUCGUCCUGUUUUUGACACUAAGCAGAUACCAAAUGGUGUUAAAAGAAUUGGUGAGAAGACUGAAGCUUCAUUAGUAUGGUUUACUCCUGCAAGAACUUCAAACCAGUGGCUUGAUUUCUGGUUACGUCAUCGACUCCAGUGGUGGAGAAAGUUUGCCAUGAGUCCAUCUAACUUCAGCAGCAGUGACUGUCAGGAUGAAGAAGGCCGGAAAGGAAACAAACUUUACUACAAUUUUCCCUGGGGAAAGGAGCUAAUAGAAACCCUGUGGAACUUAGGAGAUCAUGAACUUUUACACAUGUAUCCUGGCAAUGUGUCUAAAUUACAUGGCCGAGAUGGACGAAAAAAUGUGGUUCCUUGUGUUCUGUCUGUAAAUGGGGACCUAGACCGAGGCAUGCUGGCCUACCUCUAUGAUUCUCUCCAGCUGACAGAGAACUCCUUUACAAGAAAGAAAAAUCUUCAUAGAAAGGUGCUGUUGAUAUUUCAGAGAUAGACUUGGGAAACUAAAAAUAUGGGUUUGUUUGUUUGUUUUCUUAAUGUUAGUGUGCUUGGUUUCUAACAUAAACUCUGAAUAAUAAAUUUAGUGCAUGUAGUCUAAGUAUUUUUCAGUUUUUUUAGAAUCUGGCCACAGGAAUAAGAAUCAGGUUCUCACAAAAUAGAACAAGGCAUCCCUAAUAAGUAAUCCCAAAGGCAUUUCUGUUUAAUUGUGAACAGACAGCUGUCUCUAUGACUCCUACCCCUAAACCUUUCCAUUGGGAGCUUCCAUUUGUAUCAGAAGCUGAAACAUUGGUACAUACGAGGAAGAAAGACCCGAUCAGGGAGACCUGUGCUAUUGACCUCUCUGCCCCAGGUAUCUGGCUUCUGGUCUUGUGCCACAUGGCUGGUUCCUGGAUCAGAGGAGCUAGAUGUGGGCCUGGAAAGGCUGAUUUUAGUGCAUGAACAUGCACUUGGAGCAUGUUCAUGGGUCAGAAAAUCGAGAGGAGAAGUUGAAGUUAUAGGAGAGAAAAGAAAUGAUUAACGGGGCAAGAUGAAGGAAACAGG
rnacentral:sRNA from 1 species